GCAACCGCCAGCCCCGCCGUCCUCGGCAAAUUGAUGCUUUCCCUCUCCGCAUCGACCCGCGCGGCGAAGGCGGCUGAGCUAAGGCCUCUUUUCCCGACAUAAUUGAGAGGCGCCGAGGGGCCUGGAGAGGGCUGGCUCCAAUCCCGGCAGCGAGCAGCGCACGCCGCGAGCGAUGCGGCGAUCGAUCUGUGAUCAAGGAGGCGAUGGACCGGCGAGAGCCUGGGGCCAGCAGAAAGCGUCGUGCCAGGCGUUUUCCACCUUCCGUCCUGCUGCGCUCCCCAGGCGAUCGCACAGUCCCCUCUAGUGGAUGUUUCUCCUGCAUCGACGUUGCCGCCGGAGAGGAGCCCUGCUCGACGCCCCGGGCGAAGGGCCCCAGGCUGGGCAGCAGCAAUGGCCAGGCACGAUCCCGCAUGGCACCCGGCACCACAGCUUGGGAAUGAAGGUCCCCCGACUUUCCUGGGAAACGGCAGCCCUGGUCUCCUCCCGCUGCCGAGCCAGUAUUUAUUAUACCGAGGGUCUGCAGGAAGCCGGCUGCUAGCUCAAGCCCCCCCGGCUCCAUCGCUAUGGGCACCGGCAGAGCCCCGGGGAUUGCUGCUGCGGCCGUGUCCCCAGCCUGGCAGCGAGCCCCUGCACGGGGGAAACUGCAGGACCCACACUCUGCUCCUGGAAGCUGGAUGCCGAUAAAACCCAGUGUUUAUUGCAAUAAAACCCAGUAUUUAUUGCAGUGCUCCUCAUCGGCCUUGUUCUCAUAGAUAUGUGUUUUUUU